ACCUGGUCAAUACAGUCGGUUCGUUCGGACACAGCUCUAAUAAAAGGUUAGUCAGAGCGGAACCAGUCACAUGUGCUACGCCUAGCCCCUAGCCAGGUGAAGUGAAUCACCUUCACUUAACAUCCUAAUGAGUUUAUUCACCUUCACCAGCAGCAGUACAACUUGUAAUGCGAGUGAAGGCAGUUUGCUGCUUCGUUCAAAUGAAAUGAAACAACCGACAUAAUUAGUUACAUUUCCCCCAGUUUUACUAAUGUCGUGGCAUGAUUUUGCUCCUGCUACUAAGCUAGUCGACAUGUAGAGUAGUCACGUGUCGUUUUAUUGAGCAACAACAACGGACCGAGGCUGGGACAGGACGCCUAUAGCUAAAGGACGGACUGUCCGCUUUGGAGUUUUAAUGACGCAACUGUUACUGGACACCUGGACGCCAUGAUGGAUUCGUCUGCGUCCAAACCACGGGCCUUCUUCAAAAAACAACUGUCCAAACAUCACACUGAAGAGGACAAGACAGAUGGAAGAAAGAGGGCUGGAGACAACAGACAAAUGGCAGAGGAUGAAGUUAGUUCAGAAGCACAGGCAUCAAGUCUAAGUGGAGAAGAUCAGUCAGAAGUUCACAGCGCCUGUCAAAAUACCAGUCGUGAUGUAGUAAUUCACAGGAGUACAAAUUAAAUCUGCCGAGAUGAAACCACCA